rnacentral:rRNA from 1 species
ACUUGAUAUAUAAUUAAAGGGCCGCGGUAAUUUGACCGUGCGAAGGUAGCACAAUAACUAGUCUUUUAAUUGGAGGCUUGAAUGAAGGGUCGGAUGAGGGAUCAAGUGUCUCUAGACUAUAAUUAAAAUUUAACUUUUAAGUGAAAAGGCUUAAAUUCUUUAGUGGGACGAUAAGACCCUAUAAAACUUAUAUAUAUAUAGGUCAUGUAUUUUAUAAUAAAGUUUAAAAUAAUGUGAUCCAGGUUGUAUUUUGUUGGGGCGACAAGAAUAUAAAUAUUAACUGUUUGAGAAUUGUAAUACUGAUGGGUAGAAUUGUGAUCCUUUAUUAGAGAUUAAAAGAUUAAGUUACUUUAGGGAUAACAGCGUAAUUUUCUUUGAGAGUUCUUAUCGACAAGAUUAGUUGCGACCUCGAUGUUGAAUUAAAAUUUUAAUCAGGUGCAGCCGCUUGAUUGUAAGGUCUGUUCGACCUUUAAAUUUUUACAUGAUUUGAGUUCAGACCGG